rnacentral:rRNA from 1 species
UACCCUAUGGACGGGGAUAACCUCGGGAAACUGAGAAUAAUACCCGAUAGAACAUUAUGCCUGGAAUGGUUUAUGUUUCAAAUAAUUUAUUGCCGUAGGAUGGGACUGCGGCCUAUCAGUUUGUUGGUGAGGUAAUGGCCCACCAAGACUAUUACAGGUACGGGCUCUGAGGGGAGUAGCCCGGAGAUGGGUACUGAGACACGGACCCAGGCCCUAUGGGGCGCAGCAGGCGAGAAAACUUUGCAAUGUGCGAAAGCACGACAAGGUUAAUCCGAGUGGUUUCUGCUAAAGGAACCUUUUGUCAGUCCUAGAAACACUGAUGAAUAAGGGGUGGGCAAGUUCUGGUGUCAGCCGCCGCGGUAAAACCAGCACCUCAAGUGGUCAGGAUGAUUAUUGGGCCUAAAGCAUCCGUAGCCUGCUUUGUAAGUUUUCGGUUAAAUCCAUACGCUCAACGUAUGGGCUGCCGGGAAUACUGCAAAGCUAGGGAGUGGGAGAGGUAGACGGUACUCGGUAGGAAGGGGUAAAAUCCUUUGAUCUAUUGAUGACCACCUGUGGCGAAGGCGGUCUACCAGAACACGUCCGACGGUGAGGGAUGAAAGCUUGGGGAGCAAACCGGAUUAGAUACCCGGGUAGUCCCAGCUGUAAACUAUGCAAACUCAGUGAUGCAUUGGCUUGAUGCCAAUGCAGUGCUGCAGGGAAGCCGUUAAGUUUGCCGCCUGGGAAGU